rnacentral:rRNA from 1 species
UACGGGGGGGGCAAGCGUUGUUCGGAAUUACUGGGCGUAAAGGGCUCGUAGGUGGCCAACUAAGUCAUACGUGAAAUCCCUCAGCUUAACUGGGGAACUGCGCCUGAUACUGGUUGGCUUGAGUGCAGGAGAGGAACGCGGAAUUCCAGGUGUAGCGGUGAAAUGCGUAGAUAUCUGGAGGAACACCGGUGGCGAAGGCGGCGUUCUGGACUGCAACUGACACUGAGGAACGAAAGCCAGGGGAGCAAACGGG